rnacentral:rRNA from 1 species
AUGAACCAAGAAAAAUAUAUGAAUUUAAGGCUUCAAUUGCAACUACGGAUGAAGCAAAUAACAUACUAUAUUCACAAGAAUGGAUCGCAGAUUAGGCCUAGGGAUGCACGCGGGACAACGUCCACGAAGUCUGCGGCCGUCCACGUCGAUCGACUUUACAUUAGCACGGUUAUUAAAGUAGCAGUGGUUAGCUUAUUUUCCGCUUGCAUCCCUAUGAUUAUGCAAAGAGACAUAGAAGAGCCGUGGGCGCUGCCGUGCUACGUAUGGGAGAGAAGCGAGCUAGAUGCCCAGAUCAAUAUGUUCUGGGCCUUGUGGGUUAUAAUGAUGGAAACUGAAAGCUCGUGUAAAAUGUUCAAAGGCAUCACAAAAAAGAAGAUGUUCAAAGUGCGUCGGCUGAGGAGGAACUACGGCACGGCCGGCACACCCGGAACAGACGGCAGCGGUAUCUUAGGCACGCCAGGGAUGGACGGCAUCGGCGGCAGUGGCACCUUGGGCAGGUCGGGAAGGGACGGCAGAGGCGGCAGAGGCACCGGCAGCUUGGGCAGGUCGCCGGGGAUGGACGGAACCGGUGGUAAUGGCACUGGUACCAUGGGCAGGUCACCGGGGAUGGACGGCAUCGACGGCAGAGGCAACGUUGGCACGCCUGGCACGGUUGGCACUGUGGGCACGACGGCGCCGGGUGCUGCCGGCAGCGGCACCGUCGGCACGCCUGGCACGGCGGGAACUGUCGGGAUGGUCGGCACGGCGGGUACUGUUGGCAGCGGCACCGCCGGCACACCUGGCACAGUGGGCACCGUCGGCACCUCCGGCACGGUGGGAACCGUCGGGACGGUCGGCACCACGCCGCCGGGUACUGUUGGCAGCGGCACCGCCGGCACACCUGGCACGGUGGGCACCGUCGGCACCUCCGGCACGGUGGGAACCGUCGGGAUGGUUGGCACGACGCCGCUGGGUACUGUUGGCAGCGGCACCGUCGGCACUUCCGGCACGGUGGGCACGACGCCGCCUGGCACGGCAGGGACCGUGGGAACGACCAGGGGCAAGGCCGGCAGCGUCGGUUCGGGCAAGGCCGGGAUGUCGGCGAGGAGGCGCGCAGCACCGCACGUGCUGAGCAUGACGGCCAUGAGGAGCGCCACGGCCACGAAGCUCGUCGGCGUGGAGGCCAUGGGCGCGUUGCUACCUAGCCCACGAGCUGGCCUCAGCUCUAAAUUUCUGCAAGGGGAGCUGACGGCCUCCCACGGCUUGGCAUUUUGCAAGCAUCGGUUGUUGGCCACCCGAGGCUUAGCAUGGGUCGCAUUGGCCGCGGAAGGAGGGCUGGUGAUUGGCGAAGGGGUGCUGGAACAAAUCAACAAUGUGUGGUACAGCCGAGGGGGCGUGUGGGGCGCUGGAUCGAAUUCUGAUUUGGGCCUGAAAGGGUGGUUCUCGCGUUUGGUUCGGUCCAAGAACCGGAACCAAGUCAUUCCGUGGAACGGCAUAUUCGCCCCAGAUGCCGAACCCGCUGGUACCUCCAAAUCGGAGGAACCACGCGGAACGCCUCGUGUCUUCCCUUCUCCCCUGACUCUGCCUUCUCUCCCUCCAAUCCCCCGUCUCGACCCUCCCCUCAUGUCUCACCACCGGCACACUCCUGUCGCUCUGCGGCCGGAUCCUCGGGUCCGAUCGGGAACAGGAGGAGCAGCGGCGGGCGUCCGAUCUGACAGGCGGAGCAGCGGCGGCGGCGUCCUAUCUGACAGGCGGAGCAACGGCGGCGGCGUCCUAUCUGACAGGCGGAGCAGCGGCGGCGGCGUCCUAUCUGACAGGCGAAUCAGCGGCGGCGACGUCCUAUCUGACAAGCAGAGCAGCGGCGUCGUCCGAUCUGGGAGGCAGAGCCGCGCCCGCGACUCCCACUACCUCCUGCUCCACGCGGCUUCCCGGCACCAUCGUCCAUCAUCUCUGCUCUGCUCGGCUCUCCCUGCCUCCUCGCACAUGCUUUGCAGUGCCCGUCCAUGGGCUACGUGCUGCAGCUGGGCAAGCAGUCACAGCAAGCAGCGGCAGUAA